rnacentral:rRNA from 1 species
CCUACGGGGGGCAGCAGUGGGGAAUUUUGGACAAUGGGCGCAAGCCUGAUCCAGCAAUGCCGCGUGCAGGAUGAAGGCCUUCGGGUUGUAAACUGCUUUUGUACGGAACGAAACGGUCUUUCCUAAUACGAGAGGCUAAUGACGGUACCGUAAGAAUAAGCACCGGCUAACUACGUGCCAGCAGCCGCGGUAAUACGUAGGGUGCGAGCGGUAAUCGGAAUUACUGGGCGUAAAGCGUGCGCAGGCGGUUAUAUAAGACAGAUGUGAAAUCCCCGGGCUCAACCUGGGACCUGCAUUUGUGACUGUAUAGCUCGAGUACGGUAGAGGGGGAUGGAAUUCCGCGUGUAGCAGUGAAAUGCGUAUAUAUGCGGGGGAACACCGAUGGCGAAGGCAAUCCCCUCGACCUGUACUGACGCUCAUGCACGAAAGCGUGGGGAGCAAACAGGAUUAGAUACCCUUGUAGUC